CAGAACUAGAACUGGGACACAUUAAACAUCCAUAUGAACACAGAUGAGGACAUGUGCAGAUCUCACUGCCUGGUUGACAAGUGUAAUCAGAUAUUUAGAUUUGCACCUGCAAAAAGGAAAGCUGGAUCGUAAAAAUCAGACCAUUUGCCUCACCCCCUUCCCAGACUACACAAUGGCUCCAUGAAGCAGAGUCCCUCAGGCUAAUGGAUUUUCUCAGAAACUCUUUUGAUACUCUGAGUGGUUUGAAUCAGCAACCCUCAAUAUACAAACUAUCCACUGCGCUGCUAACUGUCAGAGAUGUGGUUAAAAAGAACCAACUUUUUUAUUUCCCUGCUGAGGUAGCUCUUGAUGGUGAGGAGAUAACAUUUGAUUUCAUUUUUUUCACUAGACUGAUACUUGCUUUAUGUAUUGAAGGCUGUAGACUAUUGAUUUUGUUGUGUAAUUGUUGAUAGCUACUUUUUCACAAUACA